rnacentral:lncRNA from 1 species
GAUGGUUCUUGGUGUUCCUCGGCACACCUGCUUUAGAAUGAAAGGCGUGACCUUAUUUUUCCUGCAGGAGGGUCCCCACCACUGCCUAUUUAUGGAAGAUUCGGGCCCCAGGCCCUGAGGGACUCUGCUCUAGGCCCCUGGUCACAGACCAGAACGUGUCCCAAGGCCCCUCUGCUCUCCGCUUCAUCCCCUGGGGUGUGGGGCUCCCGUGACAGCAAACCCAGCUUUCCUCCACAAGCCAGUGUAGACACAUUAAUCAUGAGUAGACUUCAGCCACCGGAAAGGCCACGGCCACCCGGGAGCCUCGUGGGCCUGCAGGGCUGUAGCGCAAGGGUUCUAGCAGUGCAGGGCUUGGCCUGGGGUGGGGGGGGCAGGCCCGGGAGGUCCAGGGGGGACAAGUACCUGAAGCAGUGACCUGCCUGGCCCUGCCGACGGCCGCUCCUCCCCAGCCGUCUGUGGACCAGACCCCCGCACCCCUCCCCCAGGGCAGGGCUUGGGCACCUGGUCCACUGAGCGGCUCCAGUCUGAGCGCCCGUCCCGGUGUGUCCACUGCCCCUGCUGUCACCACACUGACGUGGGAGCACAGGUGGGGGCAGACUCUGGGCACACAUGCAACCCAUCCGGGUUUGGAGUUUUCAAGGUGGAUCUUGGCUGCAUUUCUGGUAACAGCCCCCUGCCCCUGUGCACGAUGGCUUCCACGGUGGCCGAGUGCGUGCGUGGAGGCCACGGCCCUGCAGGUGCUCUGGGUGCUGAGAGCCGGGUCCCGACUCCCUCUUCCUCCUGCCCGGCCCCCAGCCCUGCCAGCGAGCAGGGCAAGGUCCCGGGACCCACAGGCCUCUAGAGUCCCACGGCGCGUGGCAUCUGCCCCCCACCACCACGCCCCCACCGCGCCCCACCGUGAGGCCAGACAGCAGCGCAGAGUCGGAGGCCACAGAACCCCAGACCUGAGGCUGAGCCUCGGCCUCCCUGAGGGCUGGGCCCCGGGGCCCCAGCAACAUGCUGACAGCGCAGCCACAUGCCUCCGUCCUGGGCCUGUGGGUGGCCCCCUCCUCAGAGCAACCAUCUCAAGGGACAGUCCUAAGGGGGCUCCCAGGGCGGCAGGCAGUGUCCUCUGGGCCUCAUUCUCACCCACGGGAGGUCACGGGGCCGAGGGGAGGGCGGAGGAAGUGGGGGAGGAAGAAGGGGGUCACAGCAUCGGGGCGGUGCUGAGGUCAGUGCCUCCUCUUCCUCCUAGAGCACUGGUGGCCGCACACGCUGUCCCCGGGGGCUCAGUCCGCCUGGUGCAGCGUGGGCACCCUGGGCAGGGAGCAGGCCCCUCUGGCCUCCAGCCCUCGGGGGUGUGACCUGUUCUCGCCUCUCCAGGCACCCGUGUCCCCCAGCCGCCUCUUCUUCCAAAGUAAAUGCAGGACCUGUGGCGUCAUCCUCACCUGCCCCCGCUGCUGUCAGCGCAUCUCCUGAGGACAGGCUGGCUCACUGCCGUCCGCCCUGUUAAGGCUUUGUCCUCAGCCUGCAAUCCUGCCCUAAAGGCUUUGUCCCCCUGAGGGAACUCUGCACCUUGCAAGCAGACAAUUGCAUCCCCAGCUACGCUGCUCACGACGUUUGAAGUGUGGAUACAAAACACUCCUGGGCUCUUCGGCUUCUAGCUGCCACGUCCCCUGCAACACACACACUCAUUCAGCCCUUAUGUUUGAAUUUUCCGUCCCCUCUUUGUCUAUAUUAAAAACCACGCGUGCA